CUCAGAGAACGUUGCAACAUCCAGUUGUCUACCAACUAUGAAUUUAGUGAUCCUAUUAUGUCUUCUUCUGGGCACUUUCUCAUGUGUCUUCUCACAAGUGACCCUCACAGAGUCUGGUCCAGGAAUUCUUAAACCUUCUGAAACUCUUCAAAUGACCUGUAAAGUUUCCACCUCUCUAAGUGGUUACUGGUGGCACUGGGUCCGCCAACCACUUGGAGGAGGUUUAGAGUGGUUAGCCCAAAUACAUUAUGAUGGAAGCACUUAUUACUCCCAGUCCCUGCGCAGUCGUCUGACAAUUACAAGGGAUAACGCCAAGAAUGAAUUCUCUUUAAAAGUGACUGACAUGCAGCCUAAAGACAGUGCAAUAUAUUACUGUGCAAGAGACACAGUAAGAAAAUAAUGUGAGAAACCAUGG